GUCAGCUCGUGUCGUGAGAUGUUGGGUUAAGUCCCGCAACGAGCGCAACCCCUAUCUUUAGUUGCCAUCAGGUUGGGCUGGGCACUCUAGAGAGACUGCCGGUGACAAGCCGGAGGAAGGUGGGGAUGACGUCAAGUCCUCAUGGCCCUUAUGUCCUGGGCUACACACGUGCUACAAWGGCGGUGACAGUGGGAAGCUAGGUGGUGACACC
rnacentral:rRNA from 1 species